GACGAACCGUCCAAACGUUAUUCGGAAUUACUGGGCUUAAAGGGUGCGUAGGCGGCGCGGAAGGUUGGGUGUGAAAUCCCUCGGCUCAACCGAGGAACUGCGCCCAAUACUACCGUGCUUGAGGGAGAUAGAGGUGAGCGGAACUUAGGGUGGAGCGGUGAAAUGCGUUGAUAUCCUAAGGAACACCGGUGGCGAAAGCGGCUCACUGGAUCUCUUCUGACGCUGAGGCACGAAAGCUAGGGUAGCGAACGGG
rnacentral:rRNA from 1 species